AAGAGAGAACAACUAUGACGAUGAUAUGAUGAUGAAUCCUGGUAGAGGAGAUGAAUCAAGAAGCUACUCACAGGCAGAGAUGUCUGUUUAUAGUGGGAAGCUCCGAGCUAGAAAUGAGACGGAGGAAGACUGGUUCAUACGUAACCAAGCAGACACUGAAAGAGAUGUCAAAACCUUUGUAGGAGACGAUUUGCAUGUAACAAAGAGAAGUGGGAGAGAUGUCCUGACUGAUGACUCGUUCAUGAUCCAUUCUCGUGUUGAGAGCCAAGUGGAAGAGUCUCGGUUAAGGACAGAGAUCAUGGACUCUGACGUUUAUGGAACCACCAAACAAGAAAACUCCUCUGCACCGGAGGAGAUUAACAACAGACAAGAGCCGGAUGAUCUUUUCAUGGUUCUUGGACGUGAACAAGAUGUUACACCUGCGAUGGUGUCGUGGACCCCUGAGAUUGACUUCGAGGCUAACGCUUUGGCUGAAGAGAAACGCAAAAACGAUUUGGAAACUGCUGCAAAGGCCUCUGAACAGACUUCAGAUGUUAAAGAAAAGAAACUUCGUGUCGUUAGAAAGGAUGCAAAGACAAGAGCAGCAAGUAGACCUGACCCUGCUUUGAAAGCUAAGAGAGCUCCCUGGGGAAGUAGAGCAGCUGCCACCAAAACCAAAUCCGAGCUGGUAAAUUUCGCUUAACUAACAGCGUUUCAUUUUUCUUGAUUAGUUUCACUCUGGUUCUAUAAAUUGGUACGAAACAAUUUUCUUAAAAUUUAAUUAAUACUAAUCAAAUCGGUUUAAACCAUUUUAAUCGGUUUAAACCAUUUUAAAUCAUUCUAAAUUGGUUUAAACUAUUUUAAAUUGGUUUUAGUAGAACUAAAUUAGUCUAAAUAUGUUAAAUUAAACAAUAAUGUUAGUAUAAAUCCACAAUUUUGUCUUUUUUGUUUUGUUUUGUAUAUAUACUUAUGAUAAUUCAUCAAAAUAAUUUUAUAAUAAAACCAAAAACUAAAAUAUCGUAUAUAAAUGUGAAAUAUAUAUAAAAUAAAUUAAUAAUUCAUCAACGCCUAGAGUUCUGAAUUAAUAAAAUGCUUCUAGUUACAGCCUAACGAUUAACAUUGGUUUCACUUUUUCUCACUUGGAUUUGGUAUUUUGAUAGGAGGAAGAGAGGAAGAAGAGAAUGGAAGAACUUUUAAUUCAGAGGCAAAAGAGAAUCGCUGCGAAGAGUUCUGGCAGUAAUGUAUCAAGUCCCUUGGCCUCCAAGAAAACUCCUACUGGAACCAAAACCGUGAAGACCUCGAAUGACAAGACACCAGCAGAAGCCGUGAAGGCUAAGCCGUUACUGAGAAGUUCCACCAUUGAGCGCCUUGCUGUUGCCAGGACAGCACCAAAGGAGCCACAACAAAAACCAGUAACCAAAAGAACAUCAAAACCUCUAGGAAACAAGACAGAGAAACCUCAAGACAAGAAACCUAGUAGAAAAAGUCCGGGACUUUCUCGUGACCCGAGUCUCGAAAUCAAGGAAACAGUGGAGGAAGAAUCACAGUCUUACUUGCCGGUGAAGCAAGUUGAUGAACUUCCUCCUGCUGCUUCUUCUGUUGAUGACUUCAAAGACAUUAAAGAGAUGCAUAGCUUGCCGAAUGAAACAAUCACCAAUCAUCAGAAAGUAGAAGAUCAGAGGAAGAUUGAUGAUGAGGAGAUAGUGAAGAAGACAUCCGUCUGCGAAGACAAGCAAGUCACUAACAACCUUUGUUCGGAGGAUGUUGAAGAAGUUAAGGCUUCACCGCCAAAACCACUGUCUCCAAAGAAGUCGGUGACGUUUUCAGAGACAAACAUGGAGGAGAAGUAUUUCUUCUCACCAACGGUGUCGGAGACUGACGUCUCGACGCCGCCGGCUACUGAAGGCUCUGAGUUCUUGAUUAAUGUUUCAGUUGGUUAUUGACUCUGUUUGUAUUUGUAUAGGCACAAGGUGAAUCUGAUGGCCAAGAAAAUUCUAAGUAAGUUUUAGCAUAGCCUUCCUUUGUUGUUAUUGUCUUGAUCGGUUUUGUGAAGUAGAUGACAAGCGGUGAAAUGAAUGUAACAGGGUUGGUCUUCAGCGUGUUCUUGAAACCCGCAAAGCGGCUUUGUGCAAAGAGCAAGCCAUGGCUUACGCUAGAGCUUUGGUUGUUGGGUUUGAAUUGGACUACAUGGACGAUCUCUUGUCCUUCGCAGAUGCUUUUGGAGCUUCGCGUUUAAGGUUAGUAACUGAAACCAUCCAUGUCCUUGUGUGCAUUUGUAUGAAGAUGGUGAAUAAAUCACUUUUGUGUUGCGUUCAGGGAAGCAUGUGUUAACUUUGUGGACUUGUGCAAGAGAAAGAACGAAGAUAGGAUGUGGGUGGACCAAAUCACGGCAAUGCAAGCCUUUCCCAGGCCUGAGCUAUCCUUCAUGGGUGACUCUGGGAUCAUACUCGCUGGGGAAGAGAAUGAUAUCGUCAAACAAGGGAACAACAUGGAUGCAAUGAGCCAGGGUAGCUUUGAGACUAGCCAAGGUCCUCCUCAGAUGUCAAUCCCCUGGCCAAACCAUUAUCCUCCUCAGUACAUGCAAGGACAUGGCUAUCCUCCUUAUAUGUAUCCCGGCCAGCCACAGUACUUCCCUCAGUGGCCUGUCAACAUGGGAGGAGAUGUGGAGUCAAGUGAGAAGACUUCCAAGAAGAAAAAGAAGAAGAAGAAAAACAAGAAGAAGAAGUAUGAAUCUUCCGAGGAGCAAAGCGAUGAGUCCAGCGCCGAGACUGUAUCAGAGGAGGGGAAUGAAGGGAAGAAAUCAUCUAGAAAAGUUGUUAUACGCAACAUAAACUACAUAACUUCAAAGAGAAACGGAGCCAAGGAUAGCGAUUCUGAUGAGUCUGUAGACGAAGAAGAAGAAGGCUUUGUGGAUGGAGACUCCAUCAAGCAGCAAGUGGAGGAAGCUAUUGGCUCGCUGGAGAAACGGCAUAAAUCGACUUCACGCCGUAGCAGGAGGAAGCACAAAAGUCAUAGUGAAGAUGAGGAGGACUCAGGUAGUAAAGAAACUAAAGGGAAUGAUAACUGGGAUGCCUUCCAAAACCUUCUUUUAAAAGACAAAGAUUCAGACCAGGAAACAGCUUCGUGUCCGUUGAACAUGGAGUCAGAAGUUGUGAGCAAGAGAGAGCUGCCUUCGGAUGAUUCUUUCUUGGUUGCAAAUGGGAAUGAGGAUUGGGGGAGGGAGAGCAGUAUUAAGAAACUUGAUGCCGGUGAGAAUGUUAGGCUGAUGAGAAGAGAGAACAACUAUGACGAUGAUAUGAUGAUGAAUCCUGGUAGAGGAGAUGAAUCAAGAAGCUACUCACAGGCAGAGAUGUCUGUUUAUAGUGGGAAGCUCCGAGCUAGAAAUGAGACGGAGGAAGACUGGUUCAUACGUAACCAAGCAGACACUGAAAGAGAUGUCAAAACCUUUGUAGGAGACGAUUUGCAUGUAACAAAGAGAAGUGGGAGAGAUGUCCUGACUGAUGACUCGUUCAUGAUCCAUUCUCGUGUUGAGAGCCAAGUGGAAGAGUCUCGGUUAAGGACAGAGAUCAUGGACUCUGACGUUUAUGGAACCAC
rnacentral:lncRNA from 1 species